GAAAAAAUAGAGCUUGCUCUUAUGAGUUAGCGGCGGACGGGUGAGUAACACGUGGGUAACCUGCCCAUAAGACUGGGAUAACUCCGGGAAACCGGGGCUAAUACCGGAUAACAUUUUGAACCGCAUGGUUCGAAAUUGAAAGGCGGCUUCGGCUGUCACUUAUGGAUGGACCCGCGUCGCAUUACCUAGUUGGUGAGGUAACGGCUCACCAAGGCAACAAUGCGUACCCAACCUGAAAGGGUGAUCGGCCACACUGGGACUGAAACACGGCCCAAACUCCUACGGGAGGCAGCAGUAGGGAAUCUUCCGCAAUGGACAAAAGUCUGACGGACCAACGCCCCGUGAGUGAUGAAGGCUUUCGGGUCGUAAAACUCUGUUGUUAGGGAAAAACAAGUGCUAGUUGAAUAAGCUGGCACCUUGACGGUACCUAACCAAAAAGCCACGGCUAACUACGUGCCACCACCCGCGGUAAUACUUAGGUGGCAAGCGUUAUCCGGAAUUAUUGGGCGUAAAGCGCGCGCAGGUGGUUUCUUAAUUCUGAUGUGAAACCCCACGGCUCACCCGUGGAGGGUCAUUGAAAACUGGGAGACUUGAGUGCAGAAGAGGAAAGUGGAAUUCCAUGUGUAGCGGUGAAAUGCGUAGAGAUAUAGAGGAACACCAGUGGCGAAGGCGACUUUCUGGUCUGUAACUGACACUGAGGCGCGAAAGCGUGGGGAGCAAACGAGAUUAGAUACCCUGGUAGUCCACGCCGUACACGAUGAGUGCUAAGUGUUAGAGGGGUUUCCCGCCCUUUAGUGCUGAGUUAACGCAUUAAGCACCUCCGCCUGGGGAGUACGCCCGCAGGGCUGAACUCAAGGAUUUGGACGGGACCCGCCACAGCGGUGCACAUGUGUUACUUCGAGCAACGCGAGAACAU
rnacentral:rRNA from 1 species